GUUGUUGCUUCUCAGUUCUUUUUUUGAAGAUGAAGGUAAAAUGAUAUUCAAAUUUGUCUUAAAAACUAAUUAAAAAUAUAAGUAAAUUUAUGAGUUAAAAAGUUAAACAAACAUACUGAACACCUAGACAAAUUCAAAAAGGGGAAGUCUAUAAAAACUGACAAAAUUAAACCAUCCAUCAACGGAACAGGUGAAAAACAACACUGUUUCUGACUUGGUACAGGCAUUUUUUUACAGAAAAUGAUGUGUUAAAUCUGGGUUUAUAGAUAAUUAAAGUCGUGAUAUAUCAAUCUAUUAAAACAUUUUGAUCUAGAAAUUCUAUCAACAUAAAUGUUGUUUGUUUAACAGUGUAAUGCCAAAGCAAUGGAAAACAAGAAGCAUUACAUUAAAUUACUACGUGCACAUAGAAAUCAUAAACGCUCGUCUGGUAUUGUUCAGAAAUUGAAAUAGAUUAAAUGGGGUAAAGUAAAGGACAAAUAUAAGCAUUUCAACUGCAAUAUGAAAAGAAACCCAUAACACAUAUUCGAAAACCAAUUUGAAAAAAUUGAAACACCAGUAACGAUCGUCUGUUCAAAUGAUUGUGCUUAGUUGUCCUUAGGCUAGUAUUAUUAUCUACAGCAAAAACAAAAAGUGUUCUGGUGGAAACGAAAGCAAAGUUUGUGAAACAAAUACGCGGUUCGACCGUUAACAUAUAUGCGUGUUCUUUUUUUAAUUUGGGGUGACUCCAAACAACACUGAUAUUCUUUCUUCCUUCUUUUAGAAUAACAGAAGCAUGUUACUUUGUUGGAUAAAUGUAAUUAAUAAUGAUCAUGAAUACCUUUAUGUACUUCAAUAGUAAGAAAAGUAAACGUUAUGUACAUAAUAAAAAUUGGAGAGUGAACCGUUAUAUACUGAAGUAUUUCCACUUAUAUUUACAUUCAUAAUAAACAGGGGAGGGCGAACUGUUAUAUACUUAAUGAUUACCACCUAUAAGUUCACCCAUAAUACACAUCGGAGGGAGAACCACUAUAAACUAAUUCAUAUACGCCUGUGUUUUAAUUUGGGGUGACUCCAAACAACCCUGAUAUUCUUUUUUCCUUCUUUUAGAAUAACAGGAGCAUGUUACUUUGUUGGAUAACUGUAAUAAAGAAUGACCAUAAACACCUUUAUUUCCACCCAUAAUAAUAAACAUAAACGUCAUACAAUUGAGAAUGAAAAUAGGGAAUGGGUCAUAGAGACAAUAACCCGACCAAAGUGCAAAACGCAGCCGAAAGCCCUCAAAUGGGUCUUUAACACAGCGAGAAAAUUCCUCACCCGGAGGCGGGCUUUAUCUUGCCCCUAAACAAAAUGUGUACUAGUGAAAAUGGACGUCACACUAAACUCCAAAACAUAUGAUUGAACUACAAUUAAAAUACAUACAAGACUAACAAAGGUCAGAGGCUCCUGACUUGGGACAGGCGCAAAAAUGCGGCGGGGUUAAAUAUGUUUUGUGAGAUCUCAAUACACAGCAAUACGCACAGUAAAACUCAGUUCAAUAGAAGUCCGAGAAUAGGUAACGAAAGAAACUAAGCAAAAUGACAAUGAUGCAUAAAUCAACAAAGGAUUACUAGCAGUCUCUCUCGCUAAGGGUUUAGUAUCAUACAAUCAUAAACUAUAUGAGAAGAACAUAAUCCGUAUCAUGCCAACAACUGGUUUUAGAAUAAAUGUGUUUAUUUUCGAUGCAAAGACCCUAUGAGUGAAUCAAUAUUGAUACGAAAAUAUGCCAUCUUUAAUGACCUGACAACAGUAUUGUAACUAUAUCCCUUCUGGUCCGAGAACACAGUUAUUUCGUAGUGCAUUUCUUUCAGACAAUAAAUGUAAAUUUAAAAAAUCCCACCUGCGCUUUCUCAAUAAUAUUUUUACAGUGUGUUGUACUACUUUUGGGACAAAUUAUAUCAAAAUUAUAGAAAACUUCAUCGGCUCUAACUCAAAAUAUGGACAACUUUAUGUUAAGGGGGUGUUGAAAUCUUUUGACAGCUUCCGAAGUGCUUAUUUUAAAACUUUUUCAGCUGGACCAAAUCACUACUUUACUUUAAAAUUCAUGACCCAGAUUUGUUUACAGUGUAAUUUUAUCCCCCUACUUGCUAUUUCAGGCAUAAAACAUGGAGAAAUAAAUUUGGAAGGGGUAUAAAAAGACUGGCAAGUAACAAACUGUUCACACUAAGGACUAUAUUUGUAACUGUGUACUCGGACCUUCUGAAUAAGUCUGUUUAAAGGUUUGGUUAAGUUUUGAGAAAAGAUCGUAUCCAUCAAAUGGUUGAAGAACUGUAAUGCAGAACGACCAUUACGAGUAUUUUACCAACUAGAAGUUAACACAACUAACAUGUUGUUUGUUAUAGACUCUUCAAUGUUUGUAUUAGGCUUUCGAUUAUUAAAUACUCGGGCCUCAGGAAUCACUGAUGAGGCGUUGAAUGUCGAGAUUCACAUAUGGAGCAGUAAAUUUAGAACUGUAAAUGUUUUAUUUUCAUUGAUGUUUAUGAUAUUGUUAUCCUGAUUCAGAUCUGAAAGAUAUAUUAUAAUAUUUGUUAUGCUUUUUAACCGUUUCUUCAAUUAAAUAUCUUUUGUAAUUUUA